GCCAGAAGGUGUUAUCCUGACUGCCAGGGGAGAAUUGUUGACAGUCCUGCUGUUACUGACCCUGUAUGCUACACUACCAAUAUGCCAGGGGAAGACCGAGUCCGCUGUGGGUGGUGCCACUCCUGGUCUGAGUGGCAUAAGGAAGUACUCUGUGAGGAUCAACCCAGUAAGCAGCGUGCUUCUGUGGCUUCUGCUUCAGUUCCUGCCUCCAGGGUCCUGCCUUGAGUCCCUGCCUUGGCUUCCCCCAGUGGUGAAGUGUGACCUGAGGGCUAUAAGACAAAAUAAACCCUUUCCUUCAUAAA